rnacentral:rRNA from 1 species
CCCUUAGAUGUUCUGGGCCGCACGCGCGCUACACUGUUGCAUUCAACGAGUUUCUUCCUGGUCCGAGAGGAAUGGGUAACCUUUUGAAAGUGCAUCGUGAUAGGGAUAGACUAUUGCAAUUAUUGGUCUUCAACGAGGAAUUCCUAGUAGACGUAGUUCAUCAGACUGCAUCGAUUACGUCCCUGCCCUUUGUACACACCGCCCGUCGCUCCUACCGAUUGAAUGCUCAGGUGAGCCAUUCGGACUUUCAUCAUGCUGGUUUCCAGUUUUGAUGAAGGAAAGUCUUGCGAACCUUAUCAUUUAGAGGAAGGAGAAGUCGUAACA